rnacentral:rRNA from 1 species
CCUACGGGAGGCAGCAGUGGGGAAUAUUGCACAAUGGGGGAAACCCUGAUGCAGCGACGCCGCGUGAGUGAAGAAGUAAUUCGUUAUGUAAAGCUCUAUCAGCAGGGAAGAAACUGACGGUACCUGAGUAAGAAGCCCCGGCUAACUACGUGCCAGCAGCCGCGGUACUACGUAGGGGGCAAGCGUUAUCCGGAUUUACUGGGUGUAAAGGGAGCGUAGACGGCAGUGCAAGUCUGGAGUGAAAGGCGGGGGCUCAACCCCCGGACUGCUCUGGAAACUGUACGGCUGGAGUGCAGGAGAGGUAAGUGGAAUUCCUAGUGUAGCGGUGAAAUGCGUAGAUAUUAGGAGGAACACCAGUGGCGAAGGCGGCUUACUGGACUGUAACUGACGUUGAGGCUCGAAAGCGUGGGGAGCAAACAGGAUUAGAUACCCUAGUAGUC